GUCUACAGCCAUGCCACCCUGAACAAGCCCAAUCCCGUCUGAUCUUGGAAGCUAAGCAGGAUUGGGCCUGGUUAGUACUUGGAUGGGAGACGAAACUCAGAAUUGAAAAGAAAGGUGCUUUAGGAG
ensembl:rRNA 5S_rRNA 5S ribosomal RNA